rnacentral:rRNA from 2 species
UUUUCUUAGUAGCGGCGAGCGAAAAGAAAUCAGUUCAGCACUAAGUCACUUUGUCUUUAUGGCAAAUGUGAGAUGCAGUGUAUGGAACGUCUACAAUCUAGUAUGAGAAAUUAAUGAUUUAAGUCCUUCUUAAAUGAGGCCAAUUACCCAAAGAGGGUGCCAGGCCCGUAUAACGUUAAUGAUUACUAGAAGGCGAUUCCAAAGAGUCGUGUUGCUUGAUAGUGCAGCACUAAGUUGGUGGUAAACUCCAUCUAAAACUAAAUAUAACCAUGAGACCGAUAGUAAACAAGUACCGUGAGGGAAAGUUGAAAAGAACUCUGAAUAGAGAGUUAAAUAGUACGUGAAACUGCUUAGAGGUUAAGCCCGAUGAACCUGAAUAUCCGUUAUGGAAAAUUCAUCAUUAAAAUUGUAAUAUCUUUUCUUUUUUUUUUUUUUAAAAAAAAAAAAAAAAAAUCUUAUAAUGAUAGGGGGCAUUUUUUCCAUAUAAGGACAUUGUAAUCUAUUAAUAUAAUAAAAUAUUUAUCAAAAAAUCAUAAAAAUAAAGUUUAUUUAAAUUAUUAUGCUUGCAUUUUAACAUAAAAUAAAUGUUAAUGAUUUGAUAAAGUGUUGAUAAAUUUAUCAUAUAUACAAUGCUUUAAUUUUUCGAAAUUAUAUAAUAGCAUAAUUAUCAUUGAUUUUUAUGUUUAUUAUAUGCAUUUGUAUGAUUAACAAUGCGAAAGAUUCAGGAUACCCUCGGGACCCGUCUUGAAACACGGACCAAGGAGUCUAACAUAUAUGCAAGUCAUUGGGAUUUUAUAAACCUAAUGGCAUAAUUAACUUAACUGUUAAUAUAUGGGAUUAGUUUUUAAACUAUUUAUAGUUUAUUAACACAAUCCCGGGGCGUUCUAUAUAGUUAUGUAUAAUAAUAUUUAUAUUAUU